GAUCAAGGAUUUAGAUCCUGCCUCUGGAUUUUGUCAUCAGUCGGUCAGGCGUGGCAGAGUUAACUCGGCGUGCACCUGAGGCAGCAUCCACAUUAGCCGGUCUUCUCAUUUUUCAAAAAUGCCCAAGGAUAGACAAGGGACAAUAAGCAGUGGCAUCUUGCAGCUGACAUGCACCUGCUUUUAAUUAGUCUGAUGGUGGGACACGCAGAGCAACAGAGAAAAGUGCAGCCAAGUGAAAGAUACAUCCAUCCCUGCGCAAGCUGCACAGUGAGCAGCUCCUGGGAACGUGGGCACUUCUGAACAGGGCUGUGAGAGAAGUCGGGCAAGUUUCACUCAAUUGUGCAAAAUCUCAGAGAGCAGCGUGCAGAGAGGCCCACAAAGAAAUAAAGUCCUUGAAGGAGGGAGGUGGCAGACGGGACAGGAACCUGGGCACGCAGCUGCUCGGUGCUCGGACCUUCUGCUUCCAGCCGUAACACCAAGGGAUGUUUCCAGGUGCAGUUAACUCACCACGUGAGAAAGGCUCCGCAGGGUCUCAGUGCUGACUAGACAAACACAUUUGGGUGAGAUGCUCACUGCCAAUUGACUCACGAGGUCAAUAUUUAGUGUUGAGGGGUCAAUCAUCAGUGCACGGCCUGUCUUGUUUAAGAAUAAGCCCAGUGCUAAACUCAUCUUUCAGUUUCACCAGGAGCAACAAGUCCUUGGUAUCUCCGAGGAUCAGACACUUCCCAUUCAAUACCUAAUUUCAAGAGCAAGCACCCAAUUUAGCCCAGCUCCCCUGGAAGAGUGAUGCUGAGCUGGUGCAGCGUAAGAUGAAAGCGGGGCUGUCUGCCCGCUCGCCGAGCAGAUGAACAGAGGUGAGAUGUUCUGCAGCAUGGGGCUCAGACAGAAGAGACCAGCAAGCACGUUAGUGCUGUGCCUCCUCUCUUUGUGCCCGAGCAU